rnacentral:rRNA from 1 species
GAGUUUGAUCCUGGCUCAGGACGAACGCUGGCGGCGUGCUUAACACAUGCAAGUCAAGGGGGCGGAGCAAUCCGCAACCGGCGAACGGGUGCGUAACACGUGAGCAACCUGCCGAUCCGCGGGGGAUAGCCGGGCUAACGCCCGGGUAAUACCGCAUACGGUUCUCUGGGGGGGUCCCUGGGGAAGGAAACCUUUGGGGCGGAUCGAGGGGCUCGCGGCCUAUCAGCUAGUUGGGGGGGUAACGGCCCACCAAGGCGACGACGGGUAGCUGGUCUGAGAGGAUGGCCAGCCACAUUGGGACUGAGAGACGGCCCAGACUCCUACGGGAGGCAGCAGUGGGGAAUCUUGCGCAAUGGUCUAACGACUGACGCAGCGACGCCGCGUGUGGGAGGACGCCUUUCGGGGUGUAAACCACUGUUGCCCGGGACGAACAGGGUCAUUCAUGGCCCCUGACGGUACCGGGUGAGGAAGCACCGGCUAACUCCGUGCCAGCAGCCGCGGUAAUACGGGAGGGUGCGAGCGUUGUCCGGAAUCAUUGGGCGUAAAGGGCGCGUAGGUGGCACGGCAAGCGUGCGGUGAAAGCCUGGGGCUCCACCCCCGGGUCGGCCGUGCGAACCGCCGGGCUGGAGCACUGUAGAGGCAGGUGGAAUUCCGCGUGUAGCAGUGAAAUGCGUAGAGAUGCGGAGGAACACCGAUGGCGAAGGCAGCCCCCUGGGCUAACACUGACGCUGAGGCACGAAAGCGUGGGGAGCAAACAGGAUUAGAUACCCUGGUAGUCCACGCCCUAAACGAUGAUCACUAGGUGUUGGGGAAAGCGAUUUUCCAGUACCGUAGCUAACGCGUGAAGUGAUCCGCCUGGGGAGUACGGUCGCAAGAUUAAAACUCAAAGGAAUUGACGGGGACCCGCACAAAGCGGUGGAUGAUGUGGAUUAAUUCGAUGCAACGCGAACAACCUUACCUACCCUUGACAUGUCCGGAAGCCUGCUGAAAGGCGGGUGUGCUCGAAAGAGAACUGGAACACAGGUGCUGCAUGGCUGUCGUCAGCUCGUGUCGUGAGAUGUUGGGUUAAGUCCCGCAACGAGCGCAACCCUUGUCCUUAGUUGCUACGCAAGGGCACUCUAAGGAGACUGCCGGUGACAAACCGGAGGAAGGUGGGGAUGACGUCAAGUCCUCAUGGCCCUUAUGGGUAGGGCUUCACACGUCAUACAAUGGACGGUACAGAGGGUCGCCAACCCGCGAGGGGGAGCCAAUCCCGAUAAAGCCGUUCGUAGUCCGGAUUGCAGUCUGCAACUCGACUGCAUGAAGUCGGAAUCGCUAGUAAUCGCGGAUCAGCAUUGCUGCGGUGAAUACGUUCCCGGGCCUUGUACACACCGCCCGUCACACCACGAAAGUCGGCAACACCCGAAGCCGGUGGCCCAACCUUAGGGAGGGAGCCGUCGAAGGUGGGGUUGGCGAUUGGGGUGAAGUCGUAACAAGGUAGCCGUACCGGAAGGUGCGGCUGGAUCACCUCCUUCCU